AUGGUGGAAGAGCUGAGGGCAGAAGACGACGAUGGAGACGAGGAUGACGAGGACGGAGAGGAGGGCGACGGCGCGGGCGGCGGGCGAGCUCUCGGGGUGCUCGCACAGGAGCCAGGCGCGACGCCGGAGCCGACCCCGGGGCAGCGGGCGCGGGAGUUCCAGGCUCAGCCCUUCGGCCUCGCGGACGCGGUCUUCGGCUUCGGGUCCGAGCUGGUAGAAGCGGAGCUCUUCCAAGAAGACGUCGAGGGGGACGUCGGGCGGGCGCCGCAGGCGGCCCCCGGAUUGGUAGUAAUAGAGGACGGCCCCGAAGGCGCCGCGGUGCCGGUCGAAGAAAUACUCGCGGCGUUGGGGGUCGAAGAAGCGGCGGCGGCGGCGGGGGUCUCCCAGGAGGGUGUCGGGGAAGCGGCGAAGGGUCCGGCCCAGGGUCUCGAAGCGACGCCCGGCCACGUUGAUGGCCACGCGCUCGCAGCAGCCCAACGGCUCCGCCAUGGCAACGGGGUGGGGAGAAGGGAACCCCCGGAGUUGGGGGGUUGGGGGGGUUGGGGGGCUUGGGGGGGGGGGCUCCUAAAGGCUUUGGAGGUCCCUGCGAGGAAGCUGGGGUGGGUGGGGGAGGAGUGGUUGAGUUCUUGGGGGUCUCGCGAAGACCCUGUGGGGCUGGGGGUGACCCUAAAGACCCACAAAGACCCUAUGGGGGUCGGGGUGACCCUAAAUGCUUGGGGGUCCCACAGAGACCGUAUGGGGAUGAGGGUGACCCUAAAGACCCACAAAGACCCUGUGGGGGUGGGGGUGACCCUAAAGGCCCACAAGAACCAUAUGGGGCUGGGGGAGACCCUAAACUCUUGGGGGUCCCACAGAGACCCUAUGGGGAUGAGGGAUCCCCUAAAGACCCACAAGAACCCUAUGGGGCUGGUGGUGACCCUAAAGGCCCACAAAGACCCUAUGGGGCUGGGGGAUCCCUUAAGGCCUUGGGGGUCCCACAGAGACCCUAUGGGGGUGGGAAAGACCCUAAAGAACCACAAGAACCCUAUGGGGCUGGGGGAGCCCCUAAACUCUAGGGGGUCCCACAAAGGUCCUAUGGGGCUGGGGGAGCCCUUAAAUCCUUGGGGGUCCCACAGAGACCCUAUGGGGGUGGGAGAGACCCUAAACUCUUGAGGGUCCCACAGAGACCCUAUGGGGAUGAGGGAUCCCCUAAAGACCCACGAGAACCCUAUGGGGCUGGGGGAUCCCUUCAGGCCUUGGGGGUCCCACAAGAACCCUAUGGGGCUGGGGGAUCCCCUAAACUCUUGGGGGUCCCCCAGGAACCCGAUGGCGCUCAGAAACCCCCAAAGUCCUCGGGGUGGGGGGUGGGAAGGGGGGUGUCCUGCAAGGACCUGCGGUGUUUUGGGGGAUCCCCUACAAUCCUCCCCCCUUCAAGGUCUCUGCGGUCAUUGGGGAUCCCCCCCAACCCCUAUGGGGGUCCCCCGGAAACCCCCGCAGCGGCGUCCCUCUGUCAGUGGGGCACGCCGACACUCUUCAGACGUCCCGCCAGGACCUUAAGGUCCUUGAAGGUCCCACGGAGGCCCUAUAGGGGACGGCCCCGCAGUGCCCUUUACGGCCCCAAACCUGGAGCGGGAUCCCCUAUAGAACCGGGGGGGGGGGAAGGGUGGGGGUGACACACUUUGGGGUGACAAGGUCCCCCCCGCUGUGCGUGUGCCCCCGGGACCCCCGAACCUCCGCCGUGUCCCCGUCCCCACCCCGACCCCGUCACCCGGGCGCCGUCACCGCUCCGUCCCCAUGGCCACGGGGUCCCCAACUCAAACACCACCGCCGUGUCCGGGUGUCACCGGGUGUCACCGGGUGU
ensembl:lncRNA